AGAAACUGAACUGUUAGAACCCAAAACUAAGAAUUUGUCAAGAAUGUAUAACUUGCUGCUGAAAUGGAACACUCAGGAUGAAACGGUAAAAUCUGCUAUGAUUAAAUGGGCACAAGACGUUGGACACAACAUUAUGUUUGCUGACUGGGAACAGUUAUGGACCACAGGUAUGAAAUUUACGGCAUGUAAUGCCCUAAGAGAGAAUAUUAUGAAAAUGAUAUACAGGUGGUACAUAACCCCAGUCAAGCUUGCAAAAAUCUAUCAUUUGCCCGAUAAUAAAUGUUGGAAAUGUAAAGAAACUGAAGGUACAUUUUUUCACCUUUGGUGGACGUGCCCAAAGAUUAAGGUUUUCUGGGAAAUGAUAUAUAAUGAAUUAAAAAAGG